UCGUCAGGUGGGAUAAUCCUUACCUGUUCCUCCGUUGGAGGGCAGAUUAGAAUAUGAUGAUUGGAGACCGCAUGAAUCGUGAUUAUCGUUUCUGCGUAAUCAGGGCUUGCAACACUCUGAUUGCUCCUAUCUGAU
ensembl:snoRNA U8 U8 small nucleolar RNA